GUCCAUACUCGAAGUGAACUAACCUUGUAAGAGAUGUGCUUCCGGUGUCAGGGCGUACAAAACCGAUGGGACUCUCCCUUAAAAUACCCAGGGUCGGCGUGACGCUCGAAAUUACUCAAAAACCAAGAAAACACUGCAUUUACCUAAGGGAAACUACUUUUAUUUCGUGCACAGUCGACGAUUUAUUCCGGGAAUCCCUUCCAACCUUCCACUAGCUCACACGUCCCGUCCCACUUCCUUAUAAAUACUCCUACCUCACACGUCCUCUUCCUCUCUUCGCACUUCCGGUGCACGCGUUCGGGGCCCCGUUCUCGCCGCUCUGCCGUCGUCGCUGCUCCUUCCUGCUGUCGUCGACGCUCCUCCGGCGCUCUGCCAAGGGGGUGGCUUCUACGUCAGUCGGAUGGACCCUCCGACGCUUCGGCUGCAGCCUUCACGGACCCUCGCCAGCCGUUCGCGCCCUUCCUGUGCUUGGUGACGUGCAACAGGCUUCGACGGUGUCCGGGGACUCCGUCGGAACAGUCCGGGGUUAGGGUUCGCGGGUAUAACGGUAACGGCCUGGCGGUUGAGCACUGUCCAGCGAAACGCUGACGGCUCGUACAGAUGGUUCACCGGGCCGGAUGUCGUACGGCCGGGGUGAAACCAAGCGGUGUUCACGAAGUGAACAAAGGAACACAAAGGAACACAAAGGGGUCCUGGAUGCCCAAAUCUCCUACGGGAAACUCCUGCUUUCUCGGCACGGCCACGGAUGUAGCUCUUCCGGGCACUUCACGAUCCUCCAAGGAUUAACUUUUCCAACACUGGUCUUCGCGGGUAACGGUUGCACUUGCCGACAACCUUCCACUUCUCGAUAUCCGGACUUAAUGACCGAGCAACGGUCAGACCAAAAUCCCGAACCCCUGACCUCUUACGCGCCAACCCAUCUCCUCCUCAUCCUGUCAUCCUCAAGGAUUACGCACAUUCACCACCCCCAAUGGCCGCCCAUGCGAUGUUAUGCAGCAGCGCUCCUGGUGGUGACUAGCGGUAACGACGCACGGUGUGGGACUUCCAGCUUCGGGUUUCUUGCUUGCUGGACGGCGUCCUGAUAACUUCCCGUCGACAAACACAACGUCUUCUUGGCACAAUAAUUUACAUUUAAAUAAUUUAACACAAAAUUCGCGACGAGUCACAUCAAGUAUUGUACACAACACUCACACUGGUUACACUCUCCCCCGGCUCGGGUUAAAAAAAUUGUAAACUCCGAAGAGUUUACAAGUUUUUUUUUACACCCUGCAUAUAAUAAACUGCCACGUCUCUCUGAACCCAAAACUGGAACUAGAUCAAAUAGCAAACACCUUUUCAUUUUUUACUUGCUUUAGGUUGCUCUAUUUAUAAAAAUCAUUUUGGAUUCUACUAAGUCAUGUUGAUGAGCCAAGGGUUUGAAACAUUUCAUACAGUGCGGGCUUGAUCGGGGUCAUAAGACUUCAUCGUCGGACUAAACCAACUCCGUGCUGUUUCGAAGCAAUUGCUUGUACUGGCCUUCAACGUUUUAACAACUCUAGCCUCCAGCGAUACAAUCACACUGUACUACUUCCAAUGCUGGUGAGACACAAAUCAAAAUAUUUACAAGUUAAAAUUAUUUACAAUAUUUACAUUACAUUUUUUUUUGUUUCCCGGGAAAUUUUCUUUCUACUCGCAUGCAAAAUCUACUAAAUUGUUUUUGGUAACUAAGCUUGAAUGGGUCGGGGUCAUAAGUUUUCAUCGUCGACCGAAGUCAACUCCUCUCUGUUUCAAGGUCGGAACCUUCUACUGACCAUCAACGUUUAAUUCAACUCCGGUCUCCAGCGAUCCCAUUCGUACAGCAAAGUUGAUUUUAUAAUUUUUCGUUUAGGCAUGCAAUUAAUUCAAAACAAAUUCAAAAAUACAUCACAAUACGUGAAUAAAAUAAAUUAAAAAUCCGGAUAAAAAAAUAUUUUCAAACGCGCGCGCAGUUACGGUAAUCAAUAUACCAGUAACGAUCAGUUGAAACGUUUCGCGUGUCGGAGUUCAUCUUCUCUUUUUAUCUUCUCUUUACUGAUAACGUUAUCGUUCUUUACUCAUGUGCGUGCUGUCAAGAUCGAUCUGUCAUGAUCUUAUCAAAUGUGCAGUGGUCAAACGUGGUUCGCAGCAACAAAAUUUGUGAUUCCAGAAAAUUAAGUGAAUUUUGAUCUUACCGGGCGUAAAAUUAUCGUUUUAAAAUCAAUCGAUCGAUGAUUAAGGGCCCUUUGAUCACUUCAGUAAUAAGUUUUACCUCGGUAGAUCACUAAUUCCAAAGUUAUCUUGGGUCACAAUUUUGUUGAUGCUAAAAUAUUUAUGAGGAAAAAAAAUGCGAAAAAAGGUAUACCAUGAAUGAAUCAAAUUAUGCUGCGCCAUACCAUGAAUGAAGCACCAAUUUAUGCUGCCCUGUGACGCUGUAAUCGCCGAACGGCGGAUUUCCAAAUGCUGUUGCCGGAAAAGCUCCUCGUUCAUCGCAGAAUCGUCAUGCUGGCUGCUCAUCUGACUACUUCCAUUCAUGCCUUCAAAUCGGCAGCUGAGAAGACACCUAGCGGCUUCCCAUUCAUAUCAGAGACUGCAUACGAGCUGGUCCCUUUCUUCGCUGUAAUGAUGCACGGCGUGUACGGUGGACCCAACUUCGCGUUGAAGUUGUCCCCCGCCGAUGACUGCUUGAAUGAACGUUUGAAGACCCGCUGACCGAUGUCGAAUGUAGGUACAACAGGUAAAGCCCAUUCAGAAGAAGAAGGCUCAAUGAUGUCAUCUCUCAGCAACAAGUCCACGGCACGGUGUAUUCUACGCUGGAUCUCCGGACUCCAGGGGUACGGAUUUUUCCUGACUGGAUCCGCUCCUUGGAACUCCUCCUUCAGCUCGAUUUUGUGCUCAAUGAGCCCCGUUUUGCCGAGAUUUCCAGGACUCGCUAGUCUGGUCGUCACCCUCGUCGAGCGUCUCGACACUCUGGUGAACCGACGGACGGAUUCCUAACUUCUGCCAAAAAUCGUAUCCUAGGAUACAACGACGUUUUAGAUCUGGAGCAAUCAAAACAGCUAUGUCCUGGAUAUUUGCGGCGAGCAUAGCGAUCUGGCAAUCUUCGCGCGUGUUGCGGAAAAGCGAGUCGAAUUUCCGUUUUUCGUCCCACGGCUGAGACAUGUUGCGGAAAAUUCUGGCCAUGUCCAGGUAGAAAUCAUGAAAUUUCUCCCGAGCACCCUGCUUCCGAUUGUACACCUGCCGCUCGUACACGUAGUCGAUAUCAAUGGAUGAUUGUACAACACCUUCUCCAGCUGACUGCGUGCUCCAUCCAGAGGCAACUUGCGGAUGUGCAACUCAUGGCUGAACUCAUCAAUCGUCAGGUGCGAUGCAUUCAUCCCAUAAUACUGCGACAGCAUAUGUUUCACCUCCAUUAUGGUAUCGUUUAGAAACACAACAAUUAAAAUUUAAAAAGAAAUACUAAAAAUUGGAAAACCUAAAAUUUAUUCACGCUUCCUAAAAGCAAUCAAGCACAAGUGAAAAUUGAAAAAUAGUGCCUAAGUAUCACAGAAGUAAUCAAUUAGAAAAUCCUAGAAAAUCAAGCAAAUUGUACAGUGUACAGAAUUUUAACGAAAAUAAACGACUGUUUCCGUCUGGUGUUUUAUUUGUCCUGCCAAGGACUGCACUUCAUGAGUAAAGAACUCCGGAUUUUUCCAAAAAUAACAAGUUGAGUAAGUAUGAACAAUUCUCCGACUUUUUCUGUUCAAUUUGUGUCUUUCCAGUGUUGGUAGUCUUCCUCCCUUAAAACAUCUUCAAGACCCCUCAAAUACUAAAUGAUCUUAGUUAAAUUUAGCCACUCAAAGUAGCGUAAAGUUUUUUUGCAAGUUGAGCUAGUAUAGUUGCGGAAGUUUUACCAAAGAAUCUGUCGACCUCUCAUUAAUGCAGCGUUUUCCCGAGCCUGAAUAAGCUAAGCUAUUCUUGUUGGGCGCCAAGUAUAACAACUGGUGUUCACUCCCAGUCCAUACUCGAAGUGAACACACACUGAAAGAGAUGUGCUUCCGGUGUCAGGGCGUACAAAACCGAUGGGACUCUCCCUUAAAAUACCCAGGGUCGGCGUGACGCUCGAAAUUACUCAAAAACCAAGAAAACACUGCAUUUACCUAAGGGAAACUACUUUUAUUUCGUGCACAGUCGACGAUUUAUUCCGGGAAUCCCUUCCAACCUUCCACUAGCUCACACGUCCCGUCCCACUUCCUUAUAAAUACUCCUACCUCACACGUCCUCUUCCUCUCUUCGCACUUCCGGUGCACGCGUUCGGGGCCCCGUUCUCGCCGCUCUGCCGUCGUCGCUGCUCCUUCCUGCUGUCGUCGACGCUCCUCCGGCGCUCUGCCAAGGGGGUGGCUUCUACGUCAGUCGGAUGGACCCUCCGACGCUUCGGCUGCAGCCUUCACGGACCCUCGCCAGCCGUUCGCGCCCUUCCUGUGCUUGGUGACGUGCAACAGGCUUCGACGGUGUCCGGGGACUCCGUCGGAACAGUCCGGGGUUAGGGUUCGCGGGUAUAACGGUAACGGCCUGGCGGUUGAGCACUGUCCAGCGAAACGCUGACGGCUCGUACAGAUGGUUCACCGGGCCGGAUGUCGUACGGCCGGGGUGAAACCAAGCGGUGUUCACGAAGUGAACAAAGGAACACAAAGGAACACAAAGGGGUCCUGGAUGCCCAAAUCUCCUACGGGAAACUCCUGCUUUCUCGGCACGGCCACGGAUGUAGCUCUUCCGGGCACUUC